ACUCGGAGGACGGUUCACGUACUGGUUUCCUGCAGGGCACCUUCAUGGACGACAUACAACUACCGGACGAUCCGGCACAUACGCAAGACGAAGGGGAAGCCAUCCUGGAUCCCUCGGGUCAACGUCUUUUCGACCCACGAAACAUCCGACACCCACGUUCAGGGGACUGGACACCCCCUGAACACCUCGCGAAGUUCAUGCACAAGUGGCUACGCAAGCCAAUGGACAAGACGGUGCACAACCGCUGGCACAGGGGUGUCAUUUGGUCAAUUUCUGUCCUGAAAAUGUAGCGACCCCUUCUACCAGUAACACUAAUACUGGUUACCAGUCCAACACUACCCAGUGACGAAUUAGGCAGGCUAAUUG